rnacentral:rRNA from 1 species
GACGAACGCUGGCGGCGUGCCUAAUACAUGCCAGUAGAACGCUGAAGCUUGGUGCUUGCACCGAGCGGAUGAGUUGCGAACGGGUGAGUAACGCGUAGGUAACCUGCCUGGUAGCGGGGGAUAACUAUUGGAAACGAUAGCUAAUACCGCAUAAGAGUAGAUGUUGCAUGACAUUUGCUUAAAAGGUGCAAUUGCAUCACUACCAGAUGGACCUGCGUUGUAUUAGCUAGUUGGUGAGGUAACGGCUCACCAAGGCAACGAUACAUAGCCGACCUGAGAGGGUGAUCGGCCACACUGGGACUGAGACACGGCCCAGACUCCUACGGGAGGCAGCAGUAGGGAAUCUUCGGCAAUGGACGGAAGUCUGACCGAGCAACGCCGCGUGAGUGAAGAAGGUUUUCGGAUCGUAAAGCUCUGUUGUAAGAGAAGAACGAGUGUGAGAGUGGAAAGUUCACACUGUGACGGUAUCUUACCAGAAAGGGACGGCUAACUACGU